GACGAACGCUGGCGGCGUGCUUAACACAUGCAAGUCGAGCGGUAAGGCCCUUUCGGGGGUACACGAGCGGCGAACGGGUGAGUAACACGUGGGUGACCUGCCCUUAGCUCUGGGAUAAGCCUGGGAAACGUGGGUCUAAUACCGGAUAUGACUCCAUAACGCAUGUUGUGGGGUGGAAAGCCUUGUGCGGCUAGGGAUGGGCCCGCGGCCUAUCAGCUUGUUGGUGGGGUGAUGGCCACCAAGGCGACGACGGGUAGCCGGCCUGAGAGGGCGACCGGCCACACUGGGACUGAGACACGGCCCAGACUCCUACGGGAGGCAGCAGUGGGGAAUCUUGCGCAAUGGGCGAAAGCCUGACGCAGCGACGCCGCGUGGGGA
rnacentral:rRNA from 1 species